GUGGUUAAGGCGUUGGACUCGAAA
rnacentral:piRNA from 1 species